rnacentral:antisense_RNA from 1 species
CUUGACCGACCCGAGGAGCAGCGGCCGAUCGCGCUGUUGCCCGUAGGUGGCGAGCAGCGCCUGCGCCUC